AGCUCUUGUUGGACUACAACUCCCAUCACUCCUGACAACCAGUUCUGCUAGCUAGGGAUGGUGGGAGUUGUAGUCCAACAACAGCU